rnacentral:rRNA from 1 species
GACGAGCGCUGGCGGCGUGCUUAACACAUGCAAGUCGAACGAUGAAGCUGGAGCUUGCUCCGGUGGAUUAGUGGCGAACGGGUGAGUAACACGUGAGCAAUCUGCCCUUGACUCUGGGAUAACUGCGGGAAACUGUAGCUAAUACCGGAUACUUUCACUGGAAGGCAUCUUCUGGUGAAGAAAGAAUUUCGGUCAAGGAUGAGCUCGCGGCCUAUCAGCUUGUUGGUGAGGUAACGGCUCACCAAGGCGACGACGGGUAGCCGGCCUGAGAGGGUGACCGGCCACACUGGGACUGAGACGCGGCCCAGACUCCUACGGGGGGCAGCAGUGGGGAAUAUUGCACUAUGGGCGCAAGCCUGAUGCAGCAACGCCGCGUGAGGGAUGAAGGCCUUCGGGUUGUAAACCUCUUUUAGCAGGGAAGAAGCGGAAGUGACGGUACCUGCAGAAAAAGCACCGGCUAACUACGUGCCAGCCGCCGCAGUAA